rnacentral:rRNA from 1 species
GAGCGGACAGAUGGGGAGCUUGCUCCCUGAUGUUAGCGGCGGACGGGUGAGUAACACGUGGGUAACCUGCCUGUAAGACUGGGAUAACUCCGGGAAACCGGGGCUAAUACCGGAUGCUUGAUUGAACCGCAUGGUUCAAUUAUAAAAGGUGGCUUUUAGCUACCACUUACAGAUGGACCCGCGGCGCAUUAGCUAGUUGGUGAGGUAACGGCUCACCAAGGCAACCAUGCGUAGCCGACCUGAGAGGGUGAUCGGCCACACUGGGACUGAGACACGGCCCAAACUCCUACGGGAGGCAGCAGUAGGGAAUCUUCCGCAAUGGACGAAAGUCUGACGGAGCAACGCCGCGUGAGUGAUGAAGGUUUUCGGAUCGUAAAACUCUGUUGUUAGGGAAAAACAAGUACCGUUCAAAUAGGGCGGUACCUUGACGGUACCUAACCAAAAAGCCACGGCUAACUACGUGCCAGCAGCCGCGGUAAUACGUAGUGGCAAGCGUUGUCCGGAAUUAUUGGGCGUAAAGCGCGCGCAGGCGGUUUCUUAAUUCUGAUGUGAAAGCCCCCGGCUCAACCGGGGAGGGUCAUUGAAACUGGGGAACUUGAGUGCAAAAAAGGAGAGUGGAAUUCCACGUGUAGCGGUGAAAUGCGUAAAAGAUGUGGAGGAACACCAGUGGCGAAGGCGACUCUCUGGUCUGUAACUGACGCUGAGGCGCGAAAGCGUGGGGGAGCAAAACAGGGAUUAAAAUACCCCUGGGUAGUCCACGCCCGUAAAACGAUGAGUGCUAAGGUGUUAGAAGGGGUUUCCCCCCCUUUUAGUGGCUGCCAGCAAACGCCAUUAAAGCACUCCGCCCUGGGGGAAGUACGGGUCCGCAAAGACUGAAAACUCAAAAGGAAGUGACGGGGGGCCCCGCCACAAGCCGGUGGAACCAUGGUGGGUUUUAAU